rnacentral:rRNA from 1 species
UACGGGGGGCAGCAGUGGGGAAUCUUGCACAAUGGGGGAAACCCUGAUGCGGCGACGCCGCGUGAGCGAUGAAGCCCUUCGGGGUGUAAAGCUCCUUCGUCAGGGAAGAUGAUGACGGUACCUGGAGAAGCAGCUGCGGCUAACUACGUGCCAGCAGCCGCGGUAAUACGUAGGCAGCGAGCGUUGUUCGGAGUUACUGGGCGUAAAGGGUGUGUAGGCGGUUCUUUAAGUUUGGUGUGAAAUCUCCCGGCUCAACCGGGAGGGUGCGCCGAAUACUGAGGGACUCGAGUGCGGGAGAGGAAAGUGGAAUUCCUGGUGUAGCGGUGAAAUGCGUAGAUAUCAGGAGGAACACCGGUGGUGUAGACGGCUUUCUGGACCGUAACUGACGCUGAAACACGAAAGCGUGGGUAGCAAACAGGAUUAGAUACCCUUGUAGUCAUCUUCUAGA